rnacentral:tRNA from 1 species
GAGGUUGUGGCUCAGUGGUAAAGUGCUCACCUAGCAUGUGAGAGGCCCUGGGUUCGAUCCUCAGUACCACA